rnacentral:sRNA from 1 species
GAUGGCCGGGGCUCUUGAGCUAUAAGUGGCACCUCAGGGCCCUGUCGGUCGUCUCGCCAUGCUGCUCCUGGGCCUGCUGCUGCUGCUGCCCCUGCUGGCUGGCGCCCGCCUGCUGUGGAACUGGUGGAAGCUCCGGAGCCUCCACCUCCCGCCUCUUGCCCCGGGCUUCUUGCACCUGCUGCAGCCCGACCUCCCCAUCUAUCUGCUCGGCCUGACUCAGAAAUUCGGGCCCAUCUACAGGCUCCACCUUGGGCUUCAAGGUGAGAGGCUAAUCUCGCUCUGGCCCUCACCACAGGAGGGGCGGAGGUGGCGGACAGGGUCCUCUCUCUGCUGACGCUGCUUUGGCUCUCCCCCAGAUGUGGUGGUGCUGAACUCCAAAAGGACCAUUGAGGAAGCCAUGGUCAAAAAGUGGGCAGACUUUGCUGGCAGACCUGAGCCACUUACCUACAAGCUGGUGUCUAAGAACUACCCAGACCUGUCCUUGGGAGACUACUCCCUGCUCUGGAAAGCCCACAAGAAGCUCACCCGCUCAGCCCUGCUGCUGGGCAUCCGUGACUCCAUGGAGCCAGUGGUGGAGCAGCUGACCCAAGAGUUCUGCGAGCGCAUGAGAGCCCAGGCCGGCACCCCUGUGGCCAUUGAGGAGGAAUUCUCUCUCCUCACCUGUAGCAUCAUCUGUUACCUCACCUUCGGAGACAAGAUCAAGGAGGUGUUAAAAACCUGGAGCCACUGGUCCAUCCAAAUUGUGGAUGUGAUUCCCUUUCUCAGGUUCUUCCCCAAUCCAGGUCUCCGGAGGCUGAAGCAGGCCAUAGAGAGGAGGGACCACAUCGUGGAGAAGCAGCUGAGGCAGCACAAGGAGAGCCUGGUGGCAGGCCAGUGGAGGGACAUGAUGGACUACAUGCUCCAAGGGGUGGCGCAGCCGAGCGUGGAAGAGGGCUCUGGACAGCUCCUGGAAGGGCACGUGCACAUGGCUGCAGUGGACCUCCUGAUCGGUGGCACUGAGACCACGGCAAACACCCUCUCCUGGGCCGUGGUUUUUUUGCUUCACCACCCUGAGAUUCAGCAGCGACUGCAGGAGGAGCUAGACCACGAACUGGGCCCUGGUGCCUCCAGCUCCCGGGUCCCCUACAAGGACCGUGCACGGCUGCCCUUGCUCAAUGCCACCAUCGCCGAGGUGCUGCGCCUGCGGCCCGUUGUGCCCUUAGCCUUGCCCCACCGCACCACACGGCCCAGCAGCAUCUCCGGCUACGACAUCCCUGAGGGCACAGUCAUCAUCCCAAACUUCAAGGCGCCCACCUGGAUGAGACGGUCUGGGAGAGGCCACAUGAGUUCUGGCCUGAUCGCUUCCUGGAGCCAGGCAAGAACUCCAGAGCUCUGGCCUUCGGCUGCGGGGCCCGUGUGUGCCUGGGCGAGCCGCUGGCGCGCCUGGAGCUCUUCGUGGUGCUGACCCGACUGCUGCAGGCCUUCACGCUGCUGCCCCCCGGGGACGCCCUGCCCUCCCUGCAGCCCCUGCCCCACUGCAGUGUCAUCCUCAAGAUGCAGCCUUUCCAAGUGCGGCUGCAGCCCCGGGGGAUGGGGGCCCACAGCCCGGGCCAGAGCCAGUGAUGGGGCAGGACCGAUGCCGGCCGGGUACCUCAGUUUCUCCUUUAUUGCUCCCGUACGAACCCCUCCCCUCCCCCCUGUAAACACAGUGCUGCGAGAUCGCUGGCAGAGAAGGCUUCCUCCAGAGGCUGGGUGGUGAAGGACCCUGGCUCUUCUCUCGGGGCGACCCCUCAGUGCUCGGCAGUCAUACUGGGGUGCGAGAGGUGGGCAGCAGCUCAGCCUCCCCUCCGCUGGGGAGCGAAAGUUUCUUGGUCUCAGCUUCAUUUCCGUGAAGGGCACCGAGAACUCGAAGCCCUUCCAGUAGUACCAGCUCACUCCCUGGGAAAGGGGUUGUCAAGAGAGAGUCAAAGCCGGAUGUCCCAUCUGCUCCUCCCGUUCCCCUUAAGGAGGUGGCUCCCAGCACUCAACCAACCUCCCCGCACAGCUCCCCUCCUGACCCUCCGCCACAGAGGAUUGAGGCUUAAUCCUGAGCUGGCCCUUUCCAGCCAAUAAAUCAUCUCCAGCUCCCUC